CCUAAUGACACCCAUGCAGCUGCAGCUCUCAUUGUCCAGACAGGUUAUGACUUCCCUGAAGGGCUAAUACCUGAAUCAGAAUGGGAAAGUAGAGAAUUCUCAUUGUCAAGGAAAUGAAUGGUAUGGAGGAGUGCUGGAGAACAAGGAUCUUGUGACCACUACACUCUACCUUCAGGACAUACCCCAUUCUUGGAACUAGGUUGCAUACACCUUCAGCACAAAGAGUUAGAUGGCUGCUAAAGUUGGACCUGCAUUUUGAAAUGGACAGAGGAAGAUGGCUGAGAAGGGUUUCAGAACUUCCCCCUUGCACCAUCCUGCACCUGCAAGGCCUACAAACACCUAGAUAAAGGAGAUUAGUCUGGAAGCUACAAUCUUGUGAAGUUCAAAAAGGUCUGGGGAGUGAUCUUCCAGGAAUCUGAAAUUCUGGACUUCAGGGGUAAACUACUGAUGGCCCAAGGAGUAAGAAGUGCUGUUAAGACCUAGCCCAAUGGGAGCCAAGUUGAGAACUCUUCCAGCAGCAAUGCCUCAUUUGGAAUGGAACUUAGCAAAAUCAACAUUUUUAGAAACUGGGCCAAGUCUGAGCUCUCUAAUUCCAGAGAUCAAAGUGAGAUCAAGGAGAAUCUGCCCCAGUGUUAAAAAAUGUUUUUCCUUUUGUUAUUGCUAUAUCUUCAAAAUAAAUACUCCUUCAUAAAAUCUAAGAUAGCA